rnacentral:tRNA from 1 species
AGAGAUGCAGCUCAGUGGUAGAGAGCUUGCCUAGCAUGCACAAGGUCCUGGGAUCAAUCACCAGCACCACUG